AUAUUUCUCUGCUUGUAAAGCAAAGAAUCCAGCAGGCAAAGCUGAUUUCUGCAGGGUAAAUGCUGACGUGCAAAUGCCCUGGCUGGAAGUACAAGCAUGCCGAGCUCCCCUUCGGUUGUCGAAGAUGUCAUUACUCCUACUCCUCUGCUCAGUCUCUGCGCUGGAGGUUACCUCCCACAGCAGCAUUAUAGGCAGGAGAUGCCUGCCUGCAUCUCCACUGCUUUGAGACAAAAUCAAGGCAGGUAAUUUCAGCUCUUUGAAGGAACUGAAAAUUAUUCUGCUUUGAGGUCUGGAACCUGCCAUACAAUAAACACUACUUAAUUGGGACAUGCUUAAUAGGGAUGGCCACUUUAAUGGGACAUCUCCUAGGGAACCUAUUUAUGCUAAUGAGACUGAAUGACAAUGACUGUUUCUUAAGUGGGGCAACAAAAGGAAAAAAACCUCCGCUUAACAGGGAUGCGCUCAGCUGUUACUAGUUUAAGUGUUUAAUCAGGUGUUAAAUAGGUCUAAAAUUUGGAGCUUCCAUCUUUUAAUUCAAAAAUGGGAAAUUACAAUUUACCUCAUGAUGAAAUGUGGUGUUGGUAUUUAUACAGUGGCAUUUAGUACAAAGGAAGGGCCGGGCUGUUUUCAAGGAAGCCAGACAUAGAGGUUCUCUUCUCCAAGCAUGGAACUACCUGUAGAUUAGAUUUGUUCAGAAUCAUUGCAAGAGCUAGAAAUAAAACCCAUCCACCCUAAUUCUCAAUCCUAUAUUUUAUCCUCUCCCCUCAACUCUUCCCACUUCUGUAUUAGGACAGUAACAAAGAAGCAAUAAAAUACAAAUAGGAAAACUUUUUAAAUCCAAGUGAUCCUUACUCAGAGCCUCUAAAACCCCUAAGAAAAGAUGCCUGAAGACUUCCAGGAGCUUCCAGAAGCUGUUAAGCCAUUUAGAAGGUUAUUCUCCUCCUGAAGAUCUUUUGUGUUCUGUGGUUUCCUCUGAAAAUAUGUAUGCUUGUCUGAGGGAUGAACAGGAGACCACGUUAAGAAGUUGUGUUAAACACAAAAAUCCCGUCUUAGAUGACAGCUAUAUAAAUGUGGGGACUCUCCCAGGCAAACCAAGACAUCUGAUUAUGCCAUUGUAUACUGUUUGGCAAAGGAGAGAGUGAAGGAAAGUGAUAGACAUGAGGGGCAGAUGGAGUUUGCCUAAUGUGUCUGUUCUUUUCUUCGCUGCCUUUUCAAUUUAAGAAUGUAGCAAAAUAGCAGCUGCUCAUAAUUUCAUGAAUCAAGAAGUAUGUAAAUUUCAGCUACAAAAUUUGUUGCAUAGUUAAGACACACACAAAGAAGGAAAAAAAGAAAAAAAGAUCUUGCUUGCAUCUACAACUUUCUUAAUCUUGCAUGCAAAUUUAGCCUUUCAGGCCUGGUUCUCCUCUUGUUUCGGUGCAAAUCAAGAGCAGUUCAGUCAAUUUUGUCAUUGUCGUGUAGGGCAAAUGCUGUGGGGUUAUCCUCCGCUAAGGGUUCAGCUCAUCUCUACUCAUUGCCUCAAUGCUUCAAUGGAAGGUGAGCCUGGUGUGAAAGGGUCCUUUCAUACCCCUGAGCCACAGAGGGGCUUUAUGCCCUACCUCUGCUCCUAGGCUGCAGCUGGAGGUGAGGAGGAAAGGCGCCUUAAUGGGAACGUCUUCAUGAACAGGAAAGCCGUAGUGGCGAACAGCUACCUGAGGAUGCUGACAACCGCUUCACAUUGAAAUGGAAAUCGCACUCCUCGCAUUUCAAUCCCUAGCCAUCUCUGAAUUAAAAGAUGGAAAAAGUGACUUGAAAUGUAUCAUCCGAAUGCAUGAAACACUGCUCAGAAAGAGCUGGGGAUCUGGGCCUCCAUAUACUAUACAGCUGGUUCUAGUUUUCAGACAAGAUUUACUAAACACAUGUAAACCGUGCAUAUCUGUUUGAAUACUUUUUGUGCAAAUAACUUCCUCUGUGGUCAAGCUGUUCCUUUCAGAUCCAGGCUACAGAUUUGUGCUUUAUGCUCACCACUUUUUUACCCUUGGAUUUCCACCAGUAUCAGUUCACACUCAGAGUAUGAAACUGUGAAGAAGGGAGCUGAGUUUGGCAGCAAGAGUCGGGAGAAUUUACAAUGCAAAACACUGAGCAAACUCAUGAUAAAGGGCAGAAAUCAUCCCUGGCGUAGCUCCAUCCAAGUCAGUGGGCCAGAUCCUGAGCAGCUAUAAACAGACACAAUACUACAUAUUUCACAGGAGCUGCCACCGCUUGUAUCAUUUGGCCCAACAGUCUCCUACACAGAGGCAACGUUUUACUGAUUCUGGUGGGAUUUCUCCUGAUUUAUACCCCAGAGUGAGCAAGCAGAGCAUUGGUCUGUCUUCACCAAUUAAAACUGCCCCACAAUUAUAUCUGCUGAGUGUCAUGAGUUCAAACUUUAAACACAAAGCAACAGCUGAAGCUGAAUAUAAAGGAGCAGGAGGGCAGAGUUUUAUGAUCAAUGUUUUAUUCGAAUCAUAUAAAAAAGAAAAGCAUUUCACAUAUUUCACGGAGGCAUUUUAUGUGCAUAUUUAAUAUGAAUCCUUUUCUUGUUAAACUCUUACAUGAUCUAUGUACUUCAGUAUAUAAAACACGGUAUAGGACAACUAUGAACAAGUUUAUUAAAACAGCUUAGGUUCCUGUUGACAUCACCAACCACACAAGUGCUUGCUCAGGGUUGGUGUGAUCUUAUCAGUCUCUCCUUAUAUUUCAGGUUACCUACUUGUUCGUUUUCCCAAUAUAUCUUUCAUUGUUACAAGAAUUCAACUCAUGGGCAGAUCUCUAAGAUAAAUCUGUUUGUCUGUUUUGGGAAUAUGGCUCUAGUUCUAAUUUUGCAGACUUCGUUCAGGCAAUACUCCCUUUGACUUCAGGGAUUUUUGCCUGAGUAAUCCUUUCAGAAUUGGACUCUCCAUGAUUUUCAUUUACUUAACAACUUGGCAUUACAUCUGUAAAAUAUUAGCCCAGUAAUGUGAAAUAUCAAAUUAGAUUUAUGCAUUAAUCUAAUCUAUAUAUGAAGCCUGAUAGUCAGUUCUCUUACACUGCAUUAUUGUAAUUCCAGGCAUUCUGUGUCACUUCAGAUUUAUACUGAUGAUGUAAGAGAAAUAAAAAGUGGGAUUUAUAGAUCAAAUUCGGUAACCCACGUAUCAUGGAAUCACAGAAUAUCCUGAGUUGGAAAGGAUCCACAAAGAUCAUCGAGUCCCACUCCUGGCUCCCCACAGGACUACCUAAAAAUUAAACCAU